rnacentral:misc_RNA from 1 species
GAUGAAGAACGCAGCGAAAUGCGAUAAGUAGUGUGAAUUGCAGAAUUCAGUGAAUCAUCGAAUCUUUGAACGCACAUUGCGCCCCUUGGUAUUCCAUGGGGCAUGCCUGUUCGAGCGUCAUUUGUACCUUCAAGCUCUGCUUGGUGUUGGGUGUUUGUCUCGCCUCUGCGUGUAGACUCGCCUCAAAACAAUUGGCAGCCGGCGUAUUGAUUUCGGAGCGCAGUACAUCUCGCGCUUUGCACUCAUAACGACGACGUCCAAAAGUACAUUUUUACACUCUUGACCUCGGAUCAGGUAGGGAUACCCGCUGAACUUAAACAUAUCAAUAAGCGGAGGA